rnacentral:rRNA from 1 species
GAUGAACGCUGGCGGCGUGCCUAAUACAUGCAAGUCGAGCGAACAGACGAGGAGCUUGCUCCUCUGACGUUAGCGGCGGACGGGUGAGUAACACGUGGAUAACCUACCUAUAAGACUGGUAUAACUUCGGGAAACCGGAGCUAAUACCGGAUAAUAUAUUGAACCGCAUGGUUCAAUAGUGAAAGACGGUUUUGCUGUCACUUAUAGAUGGAUCCGCGCCGCAUUAGCUAGUUGGUAAGGUAACGGCUUACCAAGGCAACGAUGCGUAGCCGACCUGAGAGGGUGAUCGGCCACACUGGAACUGAGACACGGUCCAGACUCCUACGGGAGGCAGCAGUAGGGAAUCUUCCGCAAUGGGCGAAAGCCUGACGGAGCAACGCCGCGUGAGUGAUGAAGGUCUUCGGAUCGUAAAAAUCUGUUAUUAGGGAAGAACAAAUGUGUAAGUAACUAUGCACGUCUUGACGGUACCUAAUCAGAAAGCCACGGCUAACUACGUG